rnacentral:rRNA from 1 species
GUACUAUUGGUGUAGAGAUGAAAUUCUUUGAUACUAAUAGGACGGAUAACAGCAAAAGCAAACCUUUAUGUAAAAACUGACGUUGAGGGACGAAGGCUUGGGUCGCGAAUAGGAUUAGAUACCCUAGUAGUCCAGGCAGAGAAUUAUGAAUGUUAUAGACUUGCGUAUGCAAGUGUAUAAAUGAAAGUGUAAGCAUUCCACCUCAAGAGUAAUGUGGCAACGCAGGAACUGAAAUCAUUAGACCGUUUCUGAAACCAGUAGUGAAGUAUGUUAUUUAAUUCGAUAACCCUCGAAAAACCUUACCACAAUUUGAAUACUUCGACCAAAGGUCGUUGUACAAGUGUUGCACGGCUGUCUUCAGUUAAUGUCGUGAGAUUCUGGUUAGAUCCAUUAAAUUAACGUAAACCCUUACUUUAUUUGUUUUUUAUAAAGUAGUUCACCGCUAUAUUGGAUGUGAUAACAGGGACCAAGACAAGUCAUCAUGACCUUAAUAUUGUGGGCUAUAGACGUGCCACAUAUGCCUUUACAA